UUGUUCUCCUUUUCCUCCGUCCUCCUUCCCCCGUCCUCGUCCUCGUCCUCCUCCUCCUCCUCCUCUCAGUUCGCGCAUGCUCCCUCCUACUCUUCUCUUCGCUUCAAACUCCUCCUCCUCUCUCUCUCCGUCUCAUUCUCUUUCCUUCCAUCGUCUCUGCAACACACUUGACUCAGCCGACCAGUCAGCCAGCCAGCCAGUCAGUCAGCCAGCCAACCAGUCACUAUCAGUCAGACACUCGGCCAGUCAGAAAAAAAAGUUUAUAGCGAAAGAAAAAUUAACUUAAAAAACCGGAUUCUGUGAUUGUUUCAAGACACAAAGAAACAAAAAAAAGAAACAGCGCAAUUAACGCAACUUUGUCCGUCACAACUCGAAGAAAUAAGAAAACACAAGAACACUUUUUAAUCCGUAAAGAAAAGAACUGAGCUGAGAAAGAAGUUAUAAAAAAAAUUAAAAAUCACCGUUUAAAAAUUUUCAUUACCACAAGAAAAAAAAUAUCGGACUUAGAGGAACUGAGAGAGAAAAUAACAAAAUUGUACUGAUUAGCCGAGGGGAAAAAAUAGUUGUUUUUAACUCUUUUACUAACAAUGGCUGGGCGGUGGUCUAACAGCGGCGGUGGUGGCGGCAGCAGUAGUAAUGGUAGUAGUGGUGGUGGUGGUGGUGGUGGUGGUGGUGGUGGUAGUAGUAGUAGUAGUGGUGGUGGUGGUGGUCGCCGCCGCAUAUCUCCAGUAAUCGUUAUGGUGGUGCUAGUGGCGGUGGUGGUGGUGGUGGUGGGCGAGCAGCAGCAGCUACAGCAAGAGGCGUACCACCACCACCACCACCUCCACCACCGCCACUACCCACACCUGCCCACCUUCGCCAUCAUGAACGGGAGUCUGUCAGUGAUUCGCGAGGGACAGAACGGCUUCAUCUAUUGCUUUGCGAACCUCCGCCUGCCGCUUCGAGUCGCCUGGACUGACCCUGACGGCAUGUCCCUCCCGCCUUACACGAGCACGGAGCCACCUAGCACGGGCAUGGGCGUGAGUGGAGGCGAGGGCGAGGUAUACGAGGUGUCGGGCGCUUAUCCAAUACCCUUCGCCUUUUUAAUAUUCCGCGGGUUCUCUACAAACUUGUCGGGUCGCUACACGUGCACGCUUGCAUAUGGAAACACGCGCCUAGCCACACGCACCACACACCUACACUUUUUCGCCCCCUCGUACCGCGUCGUGCCGGUCCCCCAGUGCUUCAUCGUGCCAAGAGGCGGCGCCGUGCUCCUCCCCUCCCCCGUGCAGGGCAGCCCCCCACGCCCGCCCGCCUGGUCACUGCUGGAGGGGGAAAGGGACAACGCAGCCGUCAGGACUCUCAACGGAAGACUCCUGCUGAGGGGGCUGAAAGGUCCCGUGGCGUGGCGAGCCGAGGUGACCCUGGGCGGCGGCCUCACCUUCUUUCAAGACGUGUUUGUGUCCGUGCAGGAUGGAGGAGGCGGUGGCGAUCGGUGGUGGUGGAGAGAAUGGAGGAAGGCGCGGCGUCAUCAGCUCCACACCCACGGCCGCCCGCACCUGCCCGACCCGCGCCCACGCCUCCCCUGGUAGCCCGUACGUCGCCUCAGCCGCCCUAGCCAAUGAAGUGAUUCAAGAUAUACAGAUUCACGCCUUCCGGAGAAGACUGAUGGGCGAGGAGUGAGAGGGAGAGGGAGAGGAGGGGGUGGUAACUAGAAAUCUGACGUGACUGUCGCAAUUAAUAAGGCUCAGGCUCUCUCUCUCUCUCUCUCUCUCUCUCUCUCUCUCUCUCUCUCUCUCUCUCUCUCUCUCUCUCUCUCUCUGAUUACACGCGUAAUUCAUUAUGUAAACAAAUCAAUUUAUUUAUCAUCUGAGUUGAUAGAGCUUUAAUGAGAGAGAGAGAGAGAGAGAGAGAGAGAGAGAGAGAGAGAGAGAGAGAGAUAGCUUGACUAAACCUGUAUAGACGGGGCUGAGAGGUUGUAAUAGGCAGGCAUGUUGUAUACAGUACAGGGACCGCCACGUGUAGGUCUGAUGGCUUCCUGCACAAACCCUCUCCCCCACUCCCACUACCACUCUCUCUCUCUCUCUCUCUCUCUCUCUCUCUCUCUCUCUCUCUCUCUCAACUUAGAAUAUUAAUCUUUACGUAAGGUUCCUAACAUAACUUUCAACAUACGAGGGUUUAACAUAAUGUCUUCUAGGAGUAAAGAGAUAUAGAUAUAUUAUAAUGGUUUGGAGAUCGUAUACCCGAACUCCAGUAUAUCAUAAGAACCUCGGGCAGUUUGACUAUAUGGUGAGUGUUUAUUGAUGUAACCAUAUAUAACUUUACGGAGCAGGAAAUAAAGUUAUAAGCAAAGUUAUAGGCA